rnacentral:rRNA from 1 species
GAUGAACGCUAGCGGCAGGCUUAACACAUGCAAGUCGAGGGGCAGCGAGGGUGAUAGCAAUAUUACCUGUCGGCGACCGGCGCACGGGUGCGUAACGCGUAUGCAACCUACCAUCAACAGGGGGAUAACACUGAGAAAUUGGUACUAAUACCCCAUAAUAUCUCAUGCGGCAUCGCAUGGGGUUGAAAACUCCGGUGGUUGAUGAUGGGCAUGCGUUGUAUUAGCUGGUUGGUGAGGUAACGGCUCACCAAGGCGACGAUACAUAGGGGGACUGAGAGGUUAACCCCCCACAUUGGUACUGAGACACGGACCAAACUCCUACGGGAGGCAGCAGUGAGGAAUAUUGGUCAAUGGACGCAAGUCUGAACCAGCCAUGCCGCGUGCAGGAUGACGGCUCUAUGAGUUGUAAACUGCUUUUGUACGAGGGUAAACCCCGAUACGUGUAUUGGGUUGAAAGUAUCGUACGAAUAAGGAUCGGCUAACUCCGUGCCAGCAGCCGCGGUAAUACGGAGGAUCCGAGCGUUAUCCGGAUUUAUUGGGUUUAAAGGGUGCGUAGGCGGUUUGAUAAGUUAGAGGUGAAAUGUCGGGGCUCAACCCCGAAACUGCCUCUAAUACUGUUGGACUAGAGAAUAGUUGCGGUAGGCGGAAUGUAUGGUGUAGCGGUGAAAUGCUUAGAGAUCAUACAGAACACCGAUUGCGAAGGCAGCUUACCAAACUAUAUCUGACGUUGAGGCACGAAAGCGUGGGUAGCAAACAGGAUUAGAUACCCUGGUAGUCCACGCAGUAAACGAUGAUAACUCGUUGUCGGCGAUACACAGUCGGUGACUAAGCGAAAGCGAUAAGUUAUCCACCUGGGGAGUACGUUCGCAAGAAUGAAACUCAAAGGAAUUGACGGGGGCCCGCACAAGCGGAGGAACAUGUGGUUUAAUUCGAUGAUACGCGAGGAACCUUACCCGGGCUUGAAAGUUAGCGACGACGCUUGAAAGAGCGUUUCCCUUCGGGGCGCGAAACUAGGUGCUGCAUGGUUGUCGUCAGCUCGUGCCGUGAGGUGUCGGGUUAAGUCCCAUAACGAGCGCAACCCCUACUGUUAGUUGCCAUCAGGUGAUGCUGGGCACUCUAGCGGGACUGCCGGUGUAAGCCGAGAGGAAGGUGGGGAUGACGUCAAAUCAGCACGGCCCUUACGUCCGGGGCCACACACGUGUUACAAUGGUAGGUACAGAGGGCAGCUACCCUGCGAAGGGGUGCGAAUCUCGAAAGCCUAUCUCAGUUCGGAUUGGAGGCUGAAACCCGCCUCCAUGAAGUUGGAUUCGCUAGUAAUCGCGCAUCAGCCAUGGCGCGGUG